rnacentral:tRNA from 1 species
CUUAUUAUAGUUUAAAUAAAACAUGGAAUUGCAAGUUCUAAAAUGACUAUAAACUUUCUAAUAAGU